rnacentral:rRNA from 1 species
ACAGAUCGUUCAGAGUUUGAUCCUGGCUCAGGAUGAACGCUGGCGGCGUGCUUAACACAUGCAAGUCGAACGGAAAGGCCCAAGCUUGCUUGGGUACUCGAGUGGCGAACGGGUGAGUAACACGUGGGUGAUCUGCCCUGCACUUCGGGAUAAGCCUGGGAAACUGGGUCUAAUACCGGAUAGGACCACUUCUUGGAUGUUGUGGUGGAAAGUUUUUUCGGUGUGGGAUGAGCUCGCGGCCUAUCAGCUUGUUGGUGGGGUAAUGGCCUACCAAGGCGUCGACGGGUAGCCGGCCUGAGAGGGUGUACGGCCACAUUGGGACUGAGAUACGGCCCAG